GGGUUGACAUUUCUCAGUGGGGCCACGCGAUUCUUCACUGCAUGGGACAGAUCCAGGACUGCAAAACAACAGCACCUCAGUCAUUGUCACAACCAGCGUGUCGCCCCAUUCCACAUGCCCCUUGGGUCCUCUUCAUCAAAUAGGAAUGCUGUUUAAGAGAACCAUAUUCUACGAAUGCUUCCUCUUUGACAAAACCCUUGGGCCUUUACUCUGUGCUUUCAUAAGAGGAAAAUUGCAAUUACAAAGUUUUGAACAUAGUUACCUAUGAGUGGGGAUAUGAGAACAAUAGCAGGAGAAAAUGGAGAUCAUCAUUCUACGCAGCACCAGCUUAAGUCAGCUGAGUAGAAAAUAACAGGUUUCAACACAAACAUCUGUACAGACCUCACUCUGGAGAAAUUACUUUGCGUGGAACCCAGGAAAUUAGUUGGAAGAAUUUGUUCACUGUCUCUUUCAAGUUUUAACAGCUUUACUUAAGAACUCAACUAGCAGAUGAUUUCUUUCCAUUGCUUUCUAAAUCAAUCACAAAUGUCUCUUUGAGAAAAGACCAAUGAAAAUUAAGUAGUAGUAAGAAGAGACACACCAGUGAUUGCAAAGUGGAGAGGCUGGCUUCCCUCUGUUAUGGACUGGAUUCUGUACCCCCAAAUUCAUAGGUAAACCCUAACUCUCAAUGUGAUGGUAUUUGGAGAUAGGGCCUUGAAGGAGAUAAUUGAGGUGAAAGGAAAUCAUAAAGGUGGAGCCCUGAGCCAAUAUGACUAGUGUGCUCAUGAGAAGAGGAAGAGACACCAGGGAUGCGCACACCCAGAGAAAAGGCCAUGGGAGGACACAGCAAAAAGGUGGCCAUCUGCAAGCCAAGGAGAGAGGCCUCAGGAGAAAUCAAACCUGCCGACCCCUUGAUCUUGGACUUCCAGCCACCAGAACUGUGAGAAAAUAAAUGUCUGUAGUUUAAAACCACACGAUCUGUGCUAUUUUGUUAUGACAGCCCUAGCAGACUAAUAUAGCCUCCAAGUUAAGAGCCAAACUUCCUGUGAGUGCCCUGUCAUUGACCAAGUGGCUUCUAGAACCACUUCAGCCCAUGACUCCUCCACCAGACAUUGUCAGUGCGAAGAGAGUUUUAGGGCCACAGCCAUGAAGAGCUUGAAUGAAACCAGCAGAGCGUUGCAGGGCAGCCUCUGUUUGACCUUCCACUCGGGAAGGAUUAAUGGCCAGCCCUUUGUGUUAGGAGAGGAUGCUCUGGCCACAUGCAGCCAGACAUGGGGGAGUGUUGUUUCCCAGUUCCAGUGAUAGGUUGGCCUACGCUGGUCUCAUGCUCACACUUGGUUCUCCUAGGUCACAAGUUAGCAGGAAGUAAGCAGGGGGUCAGGGUAGGGCUAUUAUUGUUGGCUGAAGCAUAGACUAGAGCAAUUGAUCUGUACAGUAUUGGACCCACAUCUAACUCUGGGGCCCCAGUUGUCUUGGCUUUUUCCAGCUUUGAUUUCACUGCCUCUCUGAGAGUCAGUUUUUCCUACUAAUGGAAUGUUUUCAAAGUGAGCUCAAGCCCAUGCUCAGUGGGAAAUUCUUCCCUGAAAUCAUUUGUCACAGAAUCAUUUGGCCAUCUAAGACGUUUAUUAUCCUACUUACUGGCAGUAAGUUUCAUAGAAGAGCACAAGAUACUCUGUAGAUUUUUGUUCCCCUUAAAAAGCUGAUAUUCUAGAAUCUGUCCAACAU
rnacentral:lncRNA from 10 species